UAGUCCACGCCGUAAACGAUGUCUACUAGCCGUUGGAGAACUAGAUUCUUUAGUGGCGCAGCUAACGCGAUAAGUAGACCGCCUGGGGAGUACGGUCGCAAGAUUAAAACUCAAAUGAAUUGACGGGGGCCCGCACAAGCGGUGGAGCAUGUGGUUUAAUUCGACGCAACGCGAAGAACCUUACCAAGACUUGACAUCCUGCGAACUUUCUAGAGAUAGAUUGGUGCCUUCGGGAACGCAGUGACAGGUGCUGCAUGGCUGUCGUCAGCUCGUGUUGUGAAAUGUUGGGUUAAGUCCCGUAACGAGCGCAACCCUUGUCCUUAGUUGCCAGCGAGUAAUGUCGGGAACUCUAAGGAGACUGCCGGUGACAAACCGGAGGAAGGUGGGACGACGUCAAGUCAUCAUGGCCCUUACGUCUUGGGCUACACACGUGCUACAAUGGUAGGUACAAUGAGCAGCCACUGGGCGACCAGGCGCUAAUCUAUAAAGCCUAUCACAGUUCGGAUCGU
rnacentral:rRNA from 1 species